rnacentral:rRNA from 1 species
CAAUAGCGUAUAUUAAAGUUGUUGCAGUUAAAAAGCUCGUAGUUGGAUUUCUGGGAGGGUGCCAAUGUCCGCCGUCGUGCGUGCGCAGCGGCGCCCUUCCAUCCUUCUGUUAACGCCUCUUGGCAUUCAUUUGCUGGUGGCGGGCUCAGAUAUUUUACCUUGAGAAAAUUAGAGUGUUUCAGGCAGGCUAGGCCGGAAUACAUUAGCAUGGAAUAAUGGAAUAGGACUACGGUCUCGUUGUUGGUUUGAGGGACUGCAGUAAUGAUUAAUAGGGAUAGUUGGGGGCAUUAGUAUUUAAUUGUCAGAGGUGGAAUUCUCGGAUUUGUUAAAGACUAACUUAUGCGAAAGCAUCUGCCAAGGAUGUUUUCAUUAA